CACCUGGCCGGGACAGAGCGAAUGCCAGUGAAUCCCAGGGCGCCCUCUCCCGCGCGUUGGUUCUCUAGCCCUCCUUCCCUGGGAGGGGUGGGAUUGGGAGUGUUCUGUUUUCAUUACUGCACCCCUUCCCCUAAAGACAACGGGACUGCCCUCCUCCACAGCGCCUUACCUCAAACAGGGGACCGAUCUUGUUCUUCUCCAGGUUGGACACCUAAUUUGCACAUCAGGACUGCCAUGGACCAUGGUGCAAUGAAGGUGAAGACUGGAGCACUCAUCACCCAUGGUGGGAUCCCAAGGACUCUCCACUCUACUGAGGGAAUACCACCAGUCUACCACUGGGUCUCACUUUGUUGCCCAGGCUGCAGUAUAGUGCCCUGAUCACAGCUUGCUGCAACCUCAAGCUCCCAUGCUCAAGCAAUCUUCCUGCCUCAACUUCCCAAGUAGCUGAGACCACAGGCAUGCUCCAUGACACCUGAACUCCUGAACUCAAGCGAUCCUCCUUCCUCAGCCUUCCAAAGUGCUGGGAUUACAGGCAUGAGCCCCUGAACCCUGCCUACCCUCUGUUUCUAUGUGGUAUUUGUCUUUCUAAGCCUGGCCUAUUUCAUGUAACAUAAUUUCCUCCAGAUUUAUCCAUAUUGUCUCAAAUGACCAGAUUUCUUUCUUUUUUAAGGCUGAAUAGUAUUCCAUUGUGCAUAUAUACUACAUUUUAUUUAUCCAUUCAUCUGUUGAUGGACACUUAGGUUGAUUCCGUAUCUUGGCUAUUGUGAAUAAGCUGCAAUGAACAUAGGAGUGCAGAUACUGCUUUGACAUAUUCAUUUCAUUUUCUUUGGAUAUGGAUCCAGAAGUGGAAUUGGGCUGGAAUAUAGGCAGUUCUAUUUUUAAUAUUUUGAGGAAACUCCAUAUUACUUUCCAUAAUAGCUGUGCUAAUUUACAUUCCCACCGCCAAUGUAUAAGGGCUUCCUUUUCUCCACAUCCUCUCCAACACUGGUUAUCUCUUGUCUUUUUGAUAUGUUUUCUCUUCUCUGUAAAGCUAUUGGUGGUAGCAUUUUAGUUUUUCCAAAUUUUUUUAAUCAAACUUUUGAAACGUAUAGCUGAAAUGAAAGAAUUUUAGCAUGAACGCUAAUAUACACCCAGCACCUAUAUUCUUGCUUUUUCAUGUAUUUACUCCUGAAUUAAUAUAUUACUUGUUAUAUGCUUUUGAAAGUAAACUGCAAACAAGUGCAUUCUUCUCCUAGAUCUUUCCACAUGCUCUGCCAUUAAUUAGAGUUCAAUGUUCAAUUUUUUCCUUUUGAUGUACAAUUAAUACACAAUUAAUUUACACACACAUUUUACUUAGUUCUGAAAAAUGUAUAUACUUUUAUAACUCAAAGCCCAUCAUUAUAGAACAUUACUAUCACCCUAGCAAAAUCUUUUGUGUCCCUUCUCAAUCACCAAUCCUGACCACACCCCAAGAAAACUACUGUUCAAAUUUUUCUCCGUCAUUGAUUGGCUUUGUCUGUUUUAGAACUUCAUAAAAAUAAAAUACUGUAGUAAAUUAUGUACAAUUUUACGACUAGCUUCCUUUGCUCAAUAUAAUGUUUUCGAGAUUUAUUCAUAUUGCUGCAUGUCAAUAGUUGGUUCUUUUUAUUGCUGCAUAUUUCAUUGAAUAAAAAUGCCAAAGCUUGUUUAUUCAUUCUUGUCUCACAUCAAAGUAUCUGGGGGAUGUUUUCCACUUUUGGCUAUUAGAAAUGAAACAGAUUUGAAUAUUGUUGUACAGGCUUUUUAUGCAUAUAUAUGCCUUCUUUGAGUAAAUACCCAGAAGUUAUGUUACUGGAUCAUAGGUUAAUAUAUGUUUAGUUUUAGAAGAAAAUGCUAGCUCUUUUUUCCAAAAUAUUGUCCCGUUUUACACUCCCAGCAGUAAUGUAUGAGAUUUCCAGUUGCUGCACAUCCUUACCAAAAAUUAGCUUUUCGAAUUUUAGUCAUUCUAAUGGGUGUGUAGUGGUAGCUCUAUGUAGUUCUAAUUUGCAUUUCUCUAAUGACUAAUGAUGUUAAACAUAUUUUUAUGUACUUGUUUCAUGUACUUGUUGAUAUGUCUAUUCAAUUCCUUUUACCGUUUUUAUGGAGCUGUUUUUUUAUUAUUGAGUUGUAGGAUUUCUUUAUAUAUGCUGCAUACCAGGCCUUUGUUAUAUACAUGCUUUGCAAUGUACAUUGUCUUAAAAUCUGUGGCUUGCCUGUUCAAUUCAUUAGUGGUGUUUUGUUAAGCAAUUUUUAAUUUUGAUGAAGUGUAACUUAUUCAUGUUUUAUUAUGGUUAUUUCUUUAUGUUUCAGGUCCCAAAUUUUGCUUUCUCACAAAUCACAAACAUUAUCCUAUGUUUUCCUUCAAAAAUUAUAUGGUUUUAUGUAUUUUCAAUCUCAAAAUAUUCUCUAAUGUUUUGCUGAUUUAUUUACUAAAGAAAUUUGAGGGAUUUGCUAUAAUGUUAGGGAUUUUUCUAGAUGCCACAUUGUUAUUGAUUUCUAAUUUAAUUAUAUUAUGCUCAGAAAACAUAUUCUGUAUGCUUUCAACACUUUUAAAGUUAUUGAGACUUGUUGGAGGGUCCAGCAUAUAAUCUAUCUCAGUGAACACACUGUAUUUACUUGAAAAGAUGUAUAUUCUGCAGUUAUUCAGUGUAGUGUUCUAUAAAAUCAUUUAGGUCAAGGUGGUUGAUAGUUUGUUCAAAUCCAUCUACGUCUUCAUUAAUUUUAUUUAUCUGGCUCUAUCAAUUGCUAAAAGAAUGUUGUUAAAAAUUGCCAACUAUGAUUUUAGAAUCAUUUAUUUCUCCCUUUGAUUAAUGAAUGUUGUUUCAUGAAUUUUGAAGCUAUUCAGAGACAAAAAAAA